rnacentral:rRNA from 1 species
UUAAAUUGAAGAGUUUGAUCAUGGCUCAGAUUGAACGCUGGCGGCAGGCCUAACACAUGCAAGUCGAACGGUAACAGAAAGCAGCUUGCUGCUUUGCUGACGAGUGGCGGACGGGUGAGUAAUGUCUGGGAAACUGCCUGAUGGAGAGGGAUAACUACUGGAAACGGUAGCUAAUACCGCAUAACGUCGCAAGACCAAAGAGGGGGACCUUCGGGCCUCUUGCCAUCGGAUGUGCCCAGAUGGGAUUAGCUAGUAGGUGGGGUAACGGCUCACCUAGGCGACGAUCCCUAGCUGGUCUGAGAGGAUGACCAGCCACACUGGAACUGAGACACGGUCCAGACUCCUACGGGAGGCAGCAGUGGGGAAUAUUGCACAAUGGGCGCAAGCCUGAUGCAGCCAUGCCGCGUGUAUGAAGAAGGCCUUCGGGUUGUAAAGUACUUUCAGCGGGGAGGAAGGGAGUAAAGUUAAUCCCUUUCCUCCUUGACGUUCC